rnacentral:rRNA from 1 species
GAUGAACGCUGGCGGCGUGCCUAAUACAUGCAAGUCGAGCGAACAGACGAGGAGCUUGCUCCUCUGACGUUAGCGGCGGACGGGUGAGUAACACGUGGAUAACCUACCUAUAAGACUGGGAUAAAUUCGGGAAACCGGAGCUAAUACCGGAUAAUAUAUUGAACCGCAUGGUUCAAUAGUGAAAGACGGUUUUGCUGUCACUUAUAGAUGGAUCCGCGCCGCAUUAGCUAGUUGGUAAGGUAACGGCUUACCAAGGCAACGAUGCGUAGCCGACCUGAGAGGGUGAUCGGCCACACUGGAACUGAGACACGGUCCAGACUCCUACGGGAGGCAGCAGUAGGGAAUCUUCCGCAAUGGGCGAAAGCCUGACGGAGCAACGCCGCGUGAGUGAUGAAGGUCUUCGGAUCGUAAAACUCUGUUAUUAGGGAAGAACAAAUGUGUAAGUAACUAUGCACGUCUUGACGGUACCUAAUCAGAAAGCCACGGCUAACUACGCG